rfam:Rattus norvegicus strain BN; Sprague-Dawley chromosome 15 CRA_213000033546864, whole genome shotgun sequence.
AUCAUAUUCCAAUGUAUUACGUGGGUAUUCGAUCAAAAAACUGGUUGUUUUCCACAACUGGCUCUCUUCUAAAGGUUAAAAU